GACGAACGCUGGCGGCGUGCCUAAUACAUGCAAGUAGGACGCAGUUGCGAACGGGUGAGUAACGCGUAGGUAACUACCUAUUAGAGGGGGAUAACUAUUGGAAACGAUAGCUAAUACCGCAUACUAGUAGAUGUACCUGCGUUGUAUUAGAUAGUAGGUAGGGUAAUGGCCUACCUAGGCAACGAUACAUAGCCGACCUGAGAGGGUGAGCGGCCCAAAUGGGACUGGGAAACGGCCCAGACUUCUACGGGUGGCAGCAGUAGGGAAGCUUCGGCAAUGGGGGGAACCCUGACCGAGCAACGCCGCGGGAGUGAAGAAGGUUUUCGGAGCGUAAAGCUCGGUUGUUAAGGAAGCGGUACUUAACCAGAAAGGGACGGCUAACUACGUGCCAGCAGCCGCGGUAAUUC
rnacentral:rRNA from 1 species